GACGAACGCUGGCGGCGUGCUUAACACAUGCAAGUCGAACGGAGAAGCGCUGUCCUUUUUGGUGGGUGGGGAGGAGUGGCGGAGGGGUGAGCAACACGUGAGUAACCUGCCCUCUUCUUCUGGAUAACCGCAUGAAAGUGUGGCUAAUACGGGAUAUUCUGGGUCUGUCGCAUGAUGGGUCUGGGAAAGAUUUUGUUUCGGUGGGGGAUGGGUUCGCGCCCUAUCUGCUUGUUGGUGGGGUGAUGGCCUACCAAGGCGGUGACGGGUAGCCGGCCUGGGAGGGUGGACGGCCCUAGAGGGGAGGCGACGCCGCCAGGACUGCGAGAGGCGGCAGCAGGGGAGAGUAGGCAACAGGGGGGAGCAGGCCGCAGCAGCGACGCGUCGGGGGGGAUGGAGGCCGGCGGGUUAUGACCCUCUUUGGGGAGUGAAGCAAUGCUGCCUCGGUUGUGGGUGGGUUGACGGUAGCUGGAUAAGAAGCACCGGCUAACUACGUG
rnacentral:rRNA from 1 species